rnacentral:rRNA from 1 species
GAUGAACGCUGGCGGCGUGCCUAAUACAUGCAAGUCGAGCGAACAGACGAGGAGCUUGCUCUUCUGACGUUAGCGGCGGACGGGUGAGUAACACGUGGAUAACCUACCUAUAAGACUGGGAUAACUUCGGGAAACCGGAGCUAAUACCGGAUAAUAUAUUGAACCGCAUGGUUCAAUAGUGAAAGACGGUUUUGCUGUCACUUAUAGAUGGAUCCGCGCCGCAUUAGCUAGUUGGUAAGGUAACGGCUUACCAAGGCAACGAUGCGUAGCCGACCGGAGAGGGUGAUCGGCCACACUGGAACUGAGACACGGUCCAGACUCCUACGGGAGGAAGCAGUAGGGAAUCUUCCGCAAUGGGCGAAAGCCUGACGGAGCAACGCCGCGUGAGUGAUGAAGGUCUUCGGAUCGUAAAACUCUGUUAUUAGGGAAGAACAAAUGUGUAAGUAACUAUGCACGUCUUGACGGUACCUAAUCAGAAAGCCACGGCUAACUACGUG